CAGGUCUUGACAUCCCAUUGACCGCUAUAGAGAUAUAGCUUUCCCUUCGGGGACAGUGGUGACAGGUGGUGCAUGGUUGUCGUCAGCUCGUGUCGUGAGAUGUUGGGUUAAGUCCCGCAACGAGCGCAACCCUUGUUCUUAGUUGCCAUCAUUUAGUUGGGCACUCUAAGGAGACUGCCGGUGACAAACCGGAGGAAGGUGGGGAUGACGUCAAAUCAUCAUGCCCCUUAUGACCUGGGCUACACACGUGCUACAAUGGACGGUACAAACGGUUGCCAACUCGCGAGAGGGAGCCAAUCCGAUAAAACCGUUCUCAGUUCGGAUUGUAGGCUGCAACUCGCCUACAUGAAGCCGGAAUCGCUAGUAAUCGCAGAUCAGCAUGCUGCGGUGAAUACGUUCCC
rnacentral:rRNA from 1 species